rnacentral:rRNA from 1 species
CCUACGGGUGGCAGCAGUGGGGAAUAUUGGGCAAUGGAGGCAACUCUGACCCAGCAAAGCCGCGUGAAUGAAGAAGGUCUUCGGAUUGUAAAGUUCUUUAAUCAGGGACGAAAAAGAUGACGGUACCUGAGGCGUAAGCCACGGCAGACUACGUGCCAUCAGCCGCGGUAAUACAUGGGUGGCAAGCGUUGUCCCGAAUGCCUGGGCGUAAAGGGAGCGUAGGCGGUCUGUUAAGUUGGAAGUGAAAUCCCGGGGCUCAACCCCGGAACUGCCUUCAAGACUGACGGACUUGAGUGUAAGAGGGGUAAGCGGAAUGCCUAGUGUAGCGGUGGAAUGCGUAGAUAUUAGGAGGAACACCAGUGGCGAAGGCGGCUUACUGGAUUAUAACUGACGCUGAGGCUCGAAAGCGUGGGUAGCAAACAGGAUUAGAUACCCUAGUAGUC